rnacentral:rRNA from 1 species
GACGAACGCUGGCGGCGUGCCUAACACAUGCAAGUCAACUUGACUGAAGGAGCAAUCUGACAGUAGAGUGGCGCAAGGGUGCGUAACGCGUAAGUAACUUGCCCCAAGGUAAGGAGUAACGUCGAGAAAUCGGCGCUAAUACCUCAUAAUGCAGCGGAUCCGCAUGGAUAUGUUGUUAAAGGUUUACCGCCUUGGGAUAGGCUUGCGUCUGAUUAGCUAGUUGGUGUGGUAACGGCACACCAAGGCUACGAUCAGUAACUGGUCUGAGAGGAUGAUCAGUCACACUGGAACUGAGACACGGUCCAGACUCCUACGGGAGGCAGCAGUGAGGAAUAUUGGGCAAUGCUCGAAAGAGUGACCCAGCAACGCCGCGUGGAGGAUGAAGGUAUUCUAUAUCGUAAACUCCUGUGAGAGCAGACGAAAGACAGAUUAUUAAUCUGGAUGACUGUAUGCUCAGAGGAAGCCCCGG